rfam:Schistosoma curassoni strain Dakar, Senegal genome assembly, scaffold: SCTD_contig0003472
ACACUGUUGGGGAGUCCCACAAUAGGACGAAACGGCCGUCCAGUGC